GACGAACGCUGGCGGCGUGCUUAACACAUGCAAGUCGAACGGAAAGGCCCUGCUUUUGUGGGGUGCUCGAGUGGCGAACGGGUGAGUAACACGUGAGUAACCUGCCCUUGACUUUGGGAUAACUUCAGGAAACUGGGGCUAAUACCGGAUAGGAGCUCCUGCUGCAUGGUGGGGGUUGGAAAGUUUCGGCGGUUGGGGAUGGACUCGCGGCUUAUCAGCUUGUUGGUGGGGUAGUGGCUUACCAAGGCUUUGACGGGUAGCCGGCCUGAGAGGGUGACCGGCCACAUUGGGACUGAGAUACGGCCCAGACUCCUACGGGAGGCAGCAGUGGGGAAUAUUGCACAAUGGGCGGAAGCCUGAUGCAGCAACGCCGCGUGCGAGAUGACGGCCUUCGGGUUGUAAACCGCUUUCGCCUGUGACGAAGCGUGAGUGACGGUAAUGGGUAAAGAAGCACCGGCUAACUACGUG
rnacentral:rRNA from 1 species